ACCUUCACUAUCCCCACCAUUCACCACACCCAUGAAUACCGGGACGGAAAAGCGACAGCAGCAGCCAGGAUUCGACCUUCCUCCCACAACCUCCAACCCAAGCAAACUCAGCAAGCGAAGCUAGGCGGGGAGGGGCCGGGCCGGGUCGGGGGCGGCCUGGCAGGAAGCGGCGCGUACCUUCCGCUGCAGGAGGAGCAGGUGGCUACAGUGCUGUCGGGGCCCCAAGCUUCCUGUGUACGCUCCCGCUGGCUGCUUUUUCCCGCCAGAGCUCAUUGGGCCGCCCCGGCCCUAUGGCUCAGACCCCAGAUGGCAUAUCCUGUGAACUGCGAGGCGAGAUCACCAGGUUCCUGUGGCCCAAAGAGGCGGAGCUGCUGUUGAAAACCUGGCUUCCCCAGGAGGGUGCUGAGCAAAGUCAUAUCCUGGCCCUGCUCCGAUGGAGAGCGUAUUUACUGCACACCUGCCUGCCCCUGCGGGUGAGUCCCGGGCCUGG